rnacentral:rRNA from 1 species
GACGAACGCUGGCGGCGUGCUUAACACAUGCAAGUCGAACGGAAAGGCCCUGCUUUUGUGGGGUGCUCGAGUGGCGAACGGGUGAGUAACACGUGAGUAACCUGCCCUUGACUUUGGGAUAACUUCAGGAAACUGGGGCUAAUACCGGAUAGGAGCUCCUGCUGCAUGGUGGGGGUUGGAAAGUUUCGGCGGUUGGGGAUGGACUCGCGGCUUAUCAGCGUGUUGGUGGGGUAGUGGCUUACCAAGGCUUUGACGGGUAGCCGGCCUGAGAGGGUGACCGGCCACAUUGGGACUGAGAUACGGCCCAGACUCAUACGGGAGGCAGCAGUGGGGAAUAUUGCACAAUGGGCGGAAGCCUGAUGCAGCAACGCCGCGUGCGGGAUGACGGCCUUCGGGUUGUAACCCGCUUUCGCCUGUGACGAAGCGUGAGUGACGGUAAUGGGUAAAGAAGCACCGGCUAACUACGUG